rnacentral:rRNA from 1 species
UCUCUAAGCAACGGAUGUCUUGGCUCCUCACACGAUGAAGAACGUGGCAUAAUGUGUUAAGUAACCGGAGUUGCAAACAUCAUGACAGGUUAAUCUUUGAAUGCAAAUUGCGCUUACCCGGCUUCGGUCGAGGAGCAUGCGUGUAACAGUACAACAUAAUUUAUAA